UACAGAGGCCCCAAGCGUUACUGAGAAUCACUGGGUUUAAAGGGUGCGUAGGUGGCGCGUUAAGUCUGUUGUGAAAUCCCUGGGCUCAACCCAGGAAUUGCUUCGGAUACUGGCGUGCUUGAGGCCGGUAGGGGUCACUGGAACUGACGGUGGAGCGGUGAAAUGCGUAGAUAUCGUCAGGAACGCCGAUGGUGAAGACAGGUGACUGGGCCGGAACUGACACUGAGGCACGAAAGCGUGGGGAGCGAACGGG
rnacentral:rRNA from 1 species